UGGAGCUUUAAACCCAACAGCACCCGUUUAUUUUCAUCCUCACAUAAGUUAGGUUAUGCCUGUUUGGUUUUAGGUUGGGGUGACCACGGAGUAUAAAACAACCUCCAUGAAAAAAGGACCAAAAAUCCUUAUUAGAGAAAGACAUUUCUAAAAUUAAUAAAUUAAUUUUUAAUGAUCCGAUAUUCGAUCAACGAACCAAGUUACCCUGGGGAUAACAGCGCAAUCCACUUCAAGAGCUCCUAUCGACAAGUGGGUUUACGACCUCGAUGUUGGAUCAGGGUAUCCUAGUGGUGCAGCAGCUACUAACGGUUCGUUUGUUCAACGAUUAAAACCCU
rnacentral:rRNA from 1 species